GACGAACGCUGGCGGCGUGCUUAACACAUGCAAGUCGAACGGAAAGGCCCUGCUUUUGUGGGGUGCUCGAGUGGCGAACGGGUGAGUAACACGUGAGUAACCUGCCCUUGACUUUGGGAUAACUUCAGGAAACUGGGGCUAAUACCGGAUAGGAGCUCCUGCUGCAUGGUGGGGGUUGGAAAGUUUCGGCGGUUGGGGAUGGACUCGCGGCUUAUCAGCUUGUUGGUGGGGUAGUGGCUUACCAAGGCUUUGACGGGUAGCCGGCCUGAGAGGGUGACCGGCCACAUUGGGACUGAGAUACGACCCAGACUACUACGGGAGGCAGCAGUGGAGAAUAUUGCACAAUGGGCGGAAGCCUGAUGCAGCAACGCCGCGUGCGGGAUGACGGCCUUCGGGUUGUAAACCGCUUUCGCCUGUGACGAAGCGUGAGUGACGGUAAUGGGUAAAGAAGCACCGGCUAACUACGUG
rnacentral:rRNA from 1 species